rnacentral:tRNA from 1 species
GGGGUCGUGGCUCUGCGGUAGAGCGCGCGCCUAGCACAUGUGAGGCCCUGGGUUCGAUCCUCAGCACCGCA